GGGCCCGCACAAGCGGUGGAGCAUGUGGUUUAAUUCGAUGCAACGCGAAGAACCUUACCAGGGCUUGACAUACUACAAAUUCUUUAGAGAUAGAGAAGUGCCUUCGGGAAUGUAGAUACAGGUGGUGCAUGGCUGUCGUCAGCUCGUGUCGUGAGAUGUUGGGUUAAGUCCCGCAACGAGCGCAACCCUUGUUUUUAGUUACUAAUUCGUUAGGUUUUCUAGAAAGACUGCCGGUGACAAACCGGAGGAAGGUGAGGAUGACGUCAAGUCAGCAUGCCCCUUAUGCCCUGGGCUACACACGUGCUACAAUGGUUAAGACAAAGAGUUGCGAGCUCGCAAGAGUCAGCUAAUCUCAUAAACUUAGCCUAAGUUCAGAUUGUAGGCUGCAACUCGCCUGCAUG
rnacentral:rRNA from 1 species